GGUGUGUCAGGUGACCAUGGUGUAGGGUGUGUGAGGUGACCAUGGUGUUAGUGUAGGGUGUGUCAGGUGACCAUGGUGUAGGGUGUGUCAGGUGAUCAAGGUGUUAGUGUAGGGUAUGGGUGUCGUGUACUUUAGUCUAACAUGACAAUUGUCACAGGUAAUACCAUUACCAAUUUCUGCUAUGUAAGACCAAGUCAUGCACAGCCUCUGAAAUCUUCCACUUGUAAACAAAGAGCAACAGUUCAUCCAUCCUACACUGGUGAACUUCUCUUAAUUAAUAUUACCAAUAACACUAGAGGGAAAUAAUGGGUCAUAAGGUCAUGCACUAAAGGAAAAUUAAUGUCAUCUUUUUGUCUUCUUCAGGUGAGGAAAUAACUCAUCAAUGAGAAUUUGGAGACGAGGACCAAUUGAACGGCCCGCUAUGUUUCUGGACCUCACAUUUCAAUUUCUUCCUCUGGGGUCACCUAAACUCUGUCAUCCACCAAGAUCGUCCUAGAAAUUGAAAGCCCAGAGACCUCGAUGGCCAUUCAAUCGGUCCUCACUGCCAAAUUUUCUUGACUUGUCAUGAUUCUCUUAAACGGAAGAUGGGGGGAAAAAAAAAAAGUUAAUUUUGCUAUGGUACCUGACCUAUGACAUCCACUUAACACAGUGACUGACACUCUCUGGGUUACACCUUAAAUCUUGUACCUGCCACUAAAUAAAAAUAUCUAAUUCCCCCCCCCCCAAAAAAAAGUUUAGUGUCUGGAUAUAAUACAGUACAUAAAUUGAGGUAUUAUCUGGGGUAAAAUAUACACCUGAAAAUAGUGUAACGUGGCCAGAUGAGGACCUCUGACACUACACAAAAUGAGACUUAUCUGUUCCUCUGUCCAUAAUAAGAAUGACAGAGCAGCAACCUUCACAUGGCCUAAACUUUGUAUAUACUGUCCUCUGUGUUGUAGGCGGCUCAACUAUGACACCAGAUGAUGAACACAGUGCCUCCCUCACAAAGCUUUACUGCAACACCUUUAUGGCACAGCAAAUGAUAAUCAAUGCAACUGGUUUCAUUCUCGUGAGCAAAUGCAAACUUUUCAAAUCAAAAUAAAAAAACAUUCAAAGUAAAAUUCAUGCAAAGGCAAAAUGCAGUGGAAAUGAAGGCAGUUAAAAAUGAGAAUAAAUCACAUAAAGAGUCAACUAUUAACUAAGUGUAUAAAUUAUAAACAAAGUCUAUUAUAAACCAGACAUAAAUCUUGGCAGUCAACCAUUUAUUACAUUCUGUCUGUCGUGAAAUUCUAAACUACGAGACAUUGAGUGGGGCCCCGUCACCCGAGGCAGACACACGACAAUCUAACUUUACCUGAACCACUUUAGCCACUGUAUAUUACUGAACACUUCUCAAUAUGAUCAUUAUUGUCAAGAUAAAACAGGAGCCAGACAUAGAAACUCAGUUAUGGUUAAUGAAUAAAAUAAAAUAGCAGUUCCUGAAUGAUUUUGUAAUAUAUUAUUUCCUGGUGUUUUGCCACAAAGUAAAACUCAGCUUAAUGAAAUGCAUAAAAUUAUAAAACUGAAAAUAACUUGUGAAAACUAAACACCAUAAAAUUAACGAUGCAGAGUAUAGCUAACCAUCCUAGUUGUUGAUCACUCAGUCAGGGAAGGAAGGUAUAAUUCUGUAACUCAUAAGCCAAUACUUGUACUGUAACUCAUAAGCCAAUACUUGUACUGUAACUCAUAAGCCUUCUACAUGCCAGGCACAACACUAAGACAUGCCACUCAUAACAGGGAGAUCCAGAUGGUAGCCUUUUAGUUAUGGUAAAAUACACAGGUUAUACAGUAAGAAUCUAUCACCUGAUCACAAAUAUUUACCCGGUCUUGGAAUCAUUAAUCACGGUCAGUAUCCUAUUAACAUUUUCGUAUCAAAACCUUAAUUGAAAAACAUCAACGUAAUUCAUCUUAAAUUCUAUGUAAAAUAUUUAAAAGCAAUCAGGUAAGAACAAAUUAAGAUAUUAAACUGAUUAAAUGUUGUUGGCAAAGAAAAAUUUAAUACUGUGAACAACAAUAGGAAAAGCAUUAUAGAGUUUUGCUUUGAUGACAAAUAUUAUGUCAGAACAAUUAAGAAAAUAAAACUUU